UGACCGCGUAUGAAAGUACGUUUCACCUCGGGUGACAGGGAGACAGGUGGUGCAUGGUUGUCGUCAGCUCGUGUCGUGAGAUGUUGGGUUAAGUCCCGCAACGAGCGCAACCCCUACGUUUAGUUGCUAACGCGUGAAGGCGAGCACUCUAGACGAACUGCCGUUGGACAAAACGGAGGAAGGUGGGGAUGACGUCAAAUCAUCAUGCCCCUUAUGUUCUGGGCUACACACGUGCUACAAUGGCCGGUACAGACGGACGCAAAGCCGCGAGGUGGAGCAAAUCCUAAAAAGCCGGUCUCAGUUCGGAUUGCAGGCUGCAAUUCGCCUGCAUGAAGUCGGAAUCGCUAGUAAUCGCAGGUCAGCAUACUGCGGUGAAUACGUUCCCGGGCCUU
rnacentral:rRNA from 1 species